GCCCAAUCAAAGGAGAAGAUGACUUGGGCGGAGGUGAUGACGGUGACUUGGCCCCUCCUCCUCAUCCAGGGAGCAGUCAUAUGGCUCCUCCACCUCCCCCAUCUCCAAAGAGCCAUCCACCUCCACCUCCAAAGACUGAUUUGGCUCCUCCUCCACCACCUCGAACUCCAAAGAGCAAUACACCUCCACCUCCACCAGCACCGACACCGAUACAACCGCCUCCAGGACCCUGUGUGGAAGUGAGGUUGUACAAAGGGCCAUGCGUCAACAUACUUUGCGCGGCCGCUUGUGUCGCGGAGUUGCAUCAGGGUGGCCACUGUCGUGGGAAUAUUUUUU
rnacentral:lncRNA from 1 species